UUUUAGCCCCGAUUGCAACGGAAAUCCUUUUUGUUUUUUCUUUAAAAACAAAAAGAUUGAAGUGUAAAGCGGGAAUAGCU
rnacentral:sRNA from 26 species